GUUGCCAACUUAGCCCAUGACGGGGGAGCC
rnacentral:antisense_RNA from 1 species